rnacentral:rRNA from 1 species
AGGCAGCAGGCGCGCAAAUUACCCAUUCUCAGAACGAGGAGGUAGUGACGAAAAAUACCAAGGUGAGGCUCAUUGAGUUUCGCCAUUGGAAUGAGAACAAUCUAAAUCCUUUAACGAGGAUCUAGUGGAGGGCAAGUCUGGUGCCAGCAGCCGCGGUAAUUCCAGCUCCGCAAGUGUAUUCCUAUACUGUUGCGGUUAAAAAGCUCGUAGUUGGAUCUGAGUGUUUAGCGCUUGGUGCAGUUCUGCUGUUACUGAGUGCGGCACAUAAUCGCCAAUUGGUUGCCAUCGUUGCCUUAACCGGUGAUGGUGGUUGACUGUUGUCAUGUUUACUUUGAACAAAUCAGAGUGCUCAAUACGGGCGUUUCGCUUGUAUGGUCGUGCAUGGAAUAAUAGAAUAGGACCUUGGUUCUAUUUUGUUGGUUUUCGGAAUCGAGGUAAUGAUUAAGAGGGACCAGACGGGGGCAUUCGUACUGCAACGUGAGAGGUGAAAUUCUUGGAUCGUUGCAAGACGAACUACUGCGAAAGCAUUUGCCAAGAAUGUUUUCAUUAAUCAAGAACGAAAGUAAUGGGUUCGAAGGCGAUCAGAUACCGCCCUAGUCAUUACCGUAAACGAUUGUAACUGGGAGCUAGCAGGAGUCCUUUGUGACUCUGCUAGAACCCACCCGGAAACGAUAAGUUUUCGAUAUCCGGGGGAAGUAUACUUGCAAAUGGCGAAACUUAAAGGAAUUGACGGAAGGGCACCACCAGGGGUGGGACUGCGGCUUAAUUUGACUCAACACGGGGAAACUCAUCCGGUCCGGACACCGUGAGGAUUGACAGAUUGAGAGCUCUUUCUUGAUUUGGUGGGCAGUGGUGCAUGGCCGUUCUUAGUUGGUGGAGUGAUUUGUCUGGUUUAUUCCGAUAACGAACGAGACUCUGGCCUACUAACUAGUUGCGCGAUCUUCUUGUCGUGCCAACUUCUUAGAGGGACAAGCGGUGCUCAGCCGCAUGAAAAAGAGCAAUAACAGGUCUGUGAUGCCCUUCGAUGUUCGGAGCUGCACGCGCGCUACACUGUGGGUGGCAGCAUGUUAGCUUGCCUCGCUCGCAAGAGUGGGGUAAUCGUUUGAAAAUCCCACGUGAUUGGGAUAGGGACUUGUAAUUAUUUCCCUUGAACGAGGAAUCCCUAGUAAGUGCAGGUUCAUCAGUGGCG